ACAUGCCUACAGCAUAGCGUUAAUGCAUCGGAUCCCAUUAGAACUCCGCAGUUAAACACGCUCAAGCUAUAGUAGUACUGUGAUGGGUGACUGCCCAGGAAGUCCUAGUGUUUUACAUGCC
rnacentral:rRNA from 1 species